rnacentral:lncRNA from 1 species
UACGAGUUCUGUACCUACAUUUAUGAGCUAUGGUGAUAUGAAAAUUAAACUGAAGAAAUGGAGGAUAACGAUAGAAGUGUACAGAAUGAGAGCAAUAAUGUAUCGUUAAAUGGCCAGCUUCAGUUGCAAGAGGCAAACGGAAAAAUUCUAGACCAUAAAAACUUUUCUAACCAACUUACAAAUGGCCAGGCAAGUAAUCAAUGUACUACCAUACUUAAACACUGUAAAAAAGUGCAUAUUGGUCCAAAAAUCGAAUAUCAUAAUCAUCCGCCGACCACACCCCAUCCAAUUAAAAACGAUAAAACAGAGAAUUCAAUAUUUGUGAAAUGUAAAGAAAGAC